GACGAACGCUGGCGGCGUGCCUAAUACAUGCAAGUAGGACGCAGUUGCAAACGGGUGAGUAACGCGUAGGUAACUGCCUAUUAGAGGGGGAUAACUAUUGGAAACGAUAGCUAAUACCGCCUACUAGUAGAUGGACCUGCGUUUUAUUCGCUAGUAGGUAGGGUAAUGGCCUACCUAGGCGACGAUACCUAGCCGACCUGGGAGGGUGAUCCGCCAAACUGGGACUGAGACACGGGCCAGACUCCUACGGGAGGCAGCAGUAGGGAAUCAUCGGCAAUGGGGGGAACCCUGACCGAGCAACGCCGCGUGAGUGAAGAAGGGUUUCGGAGAGUAAAGCUCUGUUGUUAAGGAAGCGGUACUUAACCAGAAAGGGACGGCUAACUACGUGCCAGCAGCCGCGGUAAUUC
rnacentral:rRNA from 1 species